UACGUAGGGUGCAAGCGUUAAUCGGAAUUACUGGGCGUAAAGGGCGGGUAGGCGGCCACCGCAAGUCGACUGUGAAAUCUCCGGGCUUAACCCGGAAAGGUCAGCCGAUACUGCGGGGCUAGAGUGCAGAAGGGGCAACUGGAAUUCUCGGUGUAGCGGUGAAAUGCGUAGAUAUCGAGAGGAACACCUGCGGCGAAGGCGGGUUGCUGGGCUGACACUGACGCCGAACUGCGAAAGCUAGGGGAGCGAACGGG
rnacentral:rRNA from 1 species